rnacentral:rRNA from 2 species
AACGAACGCUGGCGGCAGGCUUAACACAUGCAAGUCGAGCGCCCCGCAAGGGGAGCGGCAGACGGGUGAGUAACGCGUGGGAAUCUACCUUUUGCUACGGAAUAACGCAGGGAAACUUGUGCUAAUACCGUAUGUGUCCUUCGGGAGAAAGAUUUAUCGGCAAGAGAUGAGCCCGCGUUGGAUUAGCUAGUUGGUGGGGUAAAGGCCUACCAAGGCGACGAUCCAUAGCUGGUCUGAGAGGAUGAUCAGCCACAUUGGGACUGAGACACGGCCCAAACUCCUACGGGAGGCAGCAGUGGGGAGUAUUGGACAAUGGGCGCAAGCCUGAUCCAGCCAUGCCGCGUGAGUGAUGAAGGCCCUAGGGUUGUAAAGCUCUUUCACCGGAGAAGAUAAUGACGGUAUCCGGAGAAGAAGCCCCGGCUAACUUCGUGCCAGCAGCCGCGGUAA